rnacentral:rRNA from 1 species
UACAGAGGUCUCAACCGUUGUCCGGAUUUACUGGGCGUAAAGAGCGCGCAGGCGGCUGGUCAAGUCCGAUGUGAAAUCUCCCGGCUCAACUGGGAAACUGCAUCGGAAACUGAUCGGCUUGAAGAUGGGAGAGGGUAGUGGAAUUCCCGGUGUAGUGGUGAAAUGCGUAGAUAUCGGGAGGAACACCAGUGGCGAAGGCGACUACCUGGCCCAUUAUUGACGCUGAGGAGCGAAAGCUAGGGGAGCGAACAGG